rnacentral:rRNA from 1 species
AGCCUGAAUCAGUGUGUGUGUUAGUGGAAGCGUCUGGAAAGGCGCGCGAUACAGGGUGACAGCCCCGUACACAAAAAUGCACAUGCUGUGAGCUCGAUGAGUAGGGCGGGACACGUGGUAUCCUGUCUGAAUAUGGGGGGACCAUCCUCCAAGGCUAAAUACUCCUGACUGACCGAUAGUGAACCAGUACCGUGAGGGAAAGGCGAAAAGAACCCCGGCGAGGGGAGUGAAAAAGAACCUGAAACCGUGUACGUACAAGCAGUGGGAGCACGCUUAGGCGUGUGACUGCGUACCUUUUGUAUAAUGGGUCAGCGACUUAUAUUCUGUAGCAAGGUUAACCGAAUAGGGGAGCCGAAGGGAAACCGAGUCUUAACUGGGCGUUAAGUUGCAGGGUAUAGACCCGAAACCCGGUGAUCUAGCCAUGGGCAGGUUGAAGGUUGGGUAACACUAACUGGAGGACCGAACCGACUAAUGUUGAAAAAUUAGCGGAUGACUUGUGGCUGGGGGUGAAAGGCCAAUCAAACCGGGAGAUAGCUGGUUCUCCCCGAAAGCUAUUUAGGUAGCGCCUCGUGAACUCAUCUCCGGGGGUAGAGCACUGUUUCGGCAAGGGGGUCAUCCCGACUUACCAACCCGAUGCAAACUGCGAAUACCGGAGAAUGUUAUCACGGGAGACACACGGCGGGUGCUAACGUCCGUCGUGAAGAGGGAAACAACCCAGACCGCCAGCUAAGGUCCCAAAGUCAUGGUUAAGUGGGAAACGAUGUGGGAAGGCCCAGACAGCCAGGAUGUUGGCUUAGAAGCAGCCAUCAUUUAAAGAAAGCGUAAUAGCUCACUGGUCGAGUCGGCCUGCGCGGAAGAUGUAACGGGGCUAAACCAUGCACCGAAGCUGCGGCAGCGACGCUUAUGCGUUGUUGGGUA